rnacentral:rRNA from 1 species
AGAACGAACGCUGGCGGCGUGGAUAAGACAUGCAAGUCGAGCGGGACACUAUUUGUAGCAAUACAGGUAGUGUUCAGCGGCGCAAGGGUGCGUAACACGUGGGCAACCUGCCCAGAAAUGGGGGAUAGCUCGUCGAAAGGCGAAUUAAUACCGCAUGUGGCGAAGGGUGACAUCACCUUGUAGCUAAAGCUGGGGCAACCUAGCGUUUCCGGAUCGGGCCCGCGGCCUAUCAGCUAGUUGGAGAGGUAACGGCUCCCCAAGGCUAUGACGGGUAGCUGGUCUGAGAGGACGACCAGCCACACUGGAACUGAGACACGGUCCAGACACCGUACGGGUGGCAGCAGUCGAGUAAUUUUUCACAAGUGGGGACAACCGUAGAACGGAGCGACGCCGCGUGAAGGAGUAGAAGGUCUUACGGAUUUACGUAAACUUCGUAGU